GGGCCUAUGGCGCAAUGGCAGCGCGUCUGACUCCAGAUCAGAAGGUUGAGUGUUCGACUCACUCUGGGCUCA